CGUCGCGACGCGCUGCGAACUGUUGCGUCCUCGAUUAUCCCUUUAAAAUUGCGGGCAAGGUCGUGCUACAUCUUUACAUCAAUACUCUCAGAUUUUUUAUUUAAAUCACUCAAACCCAUUGUUACCCCCAUUGUGCUCAGAACUAUCCAACGAUUUUCGCUUUAAGACGUGCCGCCUAUCUGGAUUAAAAAAAAAAUAAUGUAAAUCAACUACGAAAAUAGACCGUUACGAAUAAAGCGAAAAUCGGAGGAACAUUUCGGGCAUUAACUUAACGCUCGGAAUGCGUGUAUCCAGCGUUCUCCCACCGACUUAACAGGAAUAUGAAGAUUGAAUUUAUUUCUGCCCGGUCGAGUUAUACCCCUGGAUAAAACCCUAAAAACGGAAAUCAAGUGAGUUUGGGAUCGUUCGUCAAAGUUCGUCAAUUUUUUACAGUUGGAGGGGAUGAUGGUGGCCUACUUUGAAAGAGGAAGGCGAGCGGAAUCAGUAGGUUUAUUCAUCAUGUAUUUGUUAUGAGAGGUGAAGGAACCGCGUAAUGGCCGGGGAGCCAAAUGGCUCAACAGAAGAAAGUAAUGUCACUAUUAGUAGCACAACACCUCUACCACCGUACCCCACAGUCGACCCAAAGGAAUAUUAUAAGACUUACGAUGUUAUGACUGGAGUACGAAUAGCUGCCACCUUGGGCAGUUUUUUCGGCCUAAUGGUCCUUCUUGUUUUAUACAAAUCAAAAUCAAAGACUGAAAAAGCACUAGAAGAUCCUAAUUUUACAGCAGCAGCGGUAGCCGAAGCCGAAGAAGAAGAACGGCAAAUUCAAUUAGCCUUAGAAGCGACCGCCUUAGAAGAGCUCAAUCCCGGUGUCAGCCGAUUAAGUAGGAAAUCACUGGAUAGUUCUCAUGGCAGAAGAGCCUCAAGGAGGUUUUCUUUAGCUGAAGGUCACAGCAGUUUGUACGAACCAUCUACAAAACUCACGUCGAGAUUGCCUAGUUUUGUCGAUGAAGACUCAUCGCCGGACGACGCGGCCUCCUUGUACGACGAUAUAUAUUAUAAUAGUAAACUAUUAGAUCCACGUCGUCCAAGCAACAUAACCUGCUCGUCGUCCGGCAGCUCGUAUUUGGAGCGACGUGAUUCCGCCGUGACGUUGGGUUUUUCAGUGCUGCCACCGCACAAGUACAACAAGUCCUCAAGACGACAAUCCUCUCCAGUUCCAGAAAUGUACGAUUUAUAUUAUCCUAUUGAUAUACACGUAACCCAUCCCACCCCGGGAGGAUCGCCCUGCGGCAGCGACCGCGCCCUCUAUCAGGCAGUGGGAGAACCGCCGAAUUUAAAGCCCAGAUUGGCGCCUUUAGCUUCCAUUAGUAGUUGUAAUAGUUCUCUAGGUACAGAUUAUUUUGAAGAUUAUGAUGCUAUCUCUUACGCCUGCGAUACGUAUCCAGACGAGGAGGAAAAUACGGAGAACGGAGUAGAUCCGUUCGACACCGAUAGUGACGUUAAUAGUGAGGACGGUGCAUGUUACGAUAAAAGAACUAAAGUGUGUGUUGUGUCCAAUGAUUCAUCAUCGACAAUCAGUAACGGUGGUAGUAGGUAUUCUACGGAGCAUCCCCAUCCAUGUAACAGUAAAACCGACCUAAGCAGAGAGUCGAGGUCUUCCUCGACACUAUUUGAAUGUUGUCAACUUCCUCAGAUUACCUUUGCCGAAGUUCAUAGGUUAGCAUCGUCGACAACUGAAAUCGAUCGGAAAAACUCUUGGACGCAAGAGACUUUAUUUUAAAAACCAAAUAAACCGUAGAAUUUGUUGAUAAUUCCCAAAAUCUACAUUUAUUUCAUAUCCAGACUUUUAAGCUUUUGUUCAAUGUUGGCAGAAAAUGUAAACUUGUAGUUUAUAUUAUUUACCAACGAUAUGAAAUCUGUAUAAAAAAACUAAUAUAAUGGCUCAAUGGAAUUUACGAUAUUUCACCUAUGGGCUGUGAUUAUAAGGAAUAAGUUGGCAUUACUGUUAGUAAGCACUAACUCAUUUCAUUCUACCUGUACAGGGUGUGCCAAACUCUAAUACUCUACUAAUCUUAGAAAUUAUUAUCUGUGUUUUUUCGAUAGAUCUGUUAGUUAUUAACUAUUAUAUAAACUUAACAUUUGACCAUUGAACUCUAUAUAGGAAUCAAAAAGGAAUAUGCGGACUCUUGUCUUUUAAGAGCUCUCAAUAAUUUUUAUUCUUAAACCCUUACUUCUUUAAUAAUUGAGGGAUGUGUUAUUUUCUUUAUUAAGGGGCCAUAAGUUUUGACAAUCGAUUGAUUAUAUAAUGUGAACCAUCAAAAGGAAUAAUUAGUAUUGUAUAUCUAUCUAUGUAAUUAAACGGUUUUAACGUAAAUAAUUAGUUGUCGAAUUUAUAUAAUUAAAUUCACUUUUGGACAGUAUAAGCUUGAAUACGAAUUUUAGCAUAUUUUAAUUAUUUUUAUGUAUUUCGAUUGUGGUUUGCAAAAUUGGCAUUUAAUAAAUAAAAAAAUUAUUAAAUUUCAGUAAAUUUUGUGAAUUUUUAAAAGCUCAUGCAAAUUUGAAAAGAAAUGGAGUAUGAUGAAAAUAAAAAUAAUAAAGAAUUUAGAGCUUUUAGAACUGGCGGCUAUUUAAACUUAUCAAUAUGUAGGGCGUUUCAACAACAAUCUCUAUUGUUUUUGAAACAAUUUCUGUAAUAGGCGUCGCAAUAUGUAAAUGAAUUUUUUAAACUAAUAAUGAGUAAGUCCACAGCAACGUUUCAUUAUUGAUUUGUAUAGUAUAUAUGGACAUUAUUGUACUAAAGCGCUUUACAGGAAUAAAAACAAAGCAAGUUAAACAGUAGAAGAAGUAAAACGUGUCGGCAGGUACACGUUUUUUCACUGUUUAAAACAAAAGAAAAGAGAUCACAAAACCAAAACCAAUUUAUGUAAUCAGCUCUGGUACUUCUGGUUUUGAAGGAAAAAACCGCAUCCAUACUAUGGAAGCAUAAACUACUAACCUCUGUAUAGUCUGAAACAAAGGACGCUAGUACAGAGAGUUAAAUGGUAAACGGAUAGAUUCAUUGGGAUACGCCGUAAGACGGGAAGCAAAAGAAGUAAAGGUAGUACCUGUCGACACGUGUUUCUACUUUUUGGCUUCUUCAGGGCGAGGAACCAGAAAAACAAGAGAAAGAGAGAGGAAAAGACACAAGGGUAGUCGUGUCAAAAAUUUUCUCCAAAAGCAGAGAUGCUAGAGCUAAUUACGUAAAUUCGUUGUUCGCGCCUGUUGGUAAUCUCUAAUGUUUGUUUCAGCCUUUUCUCUUUAAUUUUCUGGUUGCUCUGCCCUGAAGAAGCCAAAAGGUAGAAACAUGUCGUCAGAUACCAACUUCAAUUCUUCUGCUUCCCGUCUUACUUUGUAUCCUGAUAAAUCUAUCCUUCUAAUAUUUAACUCUCCGUGCUAGCUUUCUUUCUUUGAUUAUAUUACAAGAGUCUAAAAAAAUAUUGCAAUGCAUGCAGAAAAGUAAAGCUUCUUACAAAAUACAUUAAAGAAGACCCUAAAAACGUUGGUUCUCUAACAAUAUUAUCAAGGUUAUUAAAUAUAACAGCUAGUUAAUUUGAGUUUCCUACUAUUUAUUAAUGGUCUAAGGACCAAUGUUACUGGCCAAGAUCGAAUCAAUGUAAAAACUAAGCUUGUCAACUUUUCCAACCUUUGUAAUUAAUGAGUGUUUAUUUCUUUCUUUCCAGAAGUCAGCUAAUAUCUUUUAUGCCAAAAAAGCCUCCUCCAACAUAACUUUCAGAUUUUAGGCCAAUUAGUAUUCUUCUCUAAGGCUUCAAGUUUCUUGAAAAGGUAGUAUGUGAUCAGCUUUCGAUUUUUUAUAAUGAAAAUGAUAUACUUCCUCCACACAGUCUUGUUUUCGUCCUCAUCACAGUACAACUGCUCUUCUCAAUAUUACUAAAGAUUUUUUAUCAACUUGAGAUGUAGGUAAGUCUUACUUACUUUUGAUAUCAUAUACCACUGGGUCCUUAAAAGAAAUAAAUAAAAGGUGUUGUCGAAUUUCACCCACAGGGAGUUCUUCUUGGUAAUGCUAUCUAGAUCUGAUAAAGACGAUGGAGUACUUAAGACUACUAAAAAUAUUUAUUUUCACUAUUUAUGUCCGAUUUAAAUAUCGCGCCAAUAAAUCGAACUUCAUUGAACUGACUCCCAGCGGCGACGGAGCUCCUUUAAUAUUCGACUGACCAUGUUUCCGGAAGAUGAUCGUCGCUGACCUUCCAGAGACGUCGUGUGGUGUGCCACUUCUCUCAUUCCGGAAUGAUGGAGAACAGCUGAUAUUCUCAGUAUUCCCAAUAUCCUUACAAUAUGAAUCUGUUAAGUUGUUUCUCCAUUUUCAUGCACAUGUCGUAUUCUGGCCUCUGGUCAAAAAAGAUUUUUUACAAAAAUUUCUUGUUUAAUGUUUUCGCUCUUGUUCAAUGGCUAAUUUGGAAUUAAAAGACAUAUUGUACCAUUGGCAAAUCGUACUAUGAAUUUCAAGCCCUACAAGUACCCAAUAAUUUGUCUGAAUAAGUGGUGAAGUAGACACCCCUGUCUUGUUUCAAAGAACAUUUUCAUAUAGGUAGCUUCAAUCCACUGAUUAAACAAAAAGUAUUUAGCAAAUUCAUCAUAUUUUCUACCUUAUAUUAUUAUUGUAAAAUUUGGAUUAUUUUUACUGAAAUUGAUCUAUAAACCUUUAAUUAAGUUCUAUUAAACACGUUUUAUUUUUUGCUUACUUCCGAGAAUGCGAUAAACGGCGAAAGCUUUUGAAUGAAAAACAUUAAAUAAACAAAAUGUAAUGGUCGACAUUUACAUUGUAUAUUGAUGGAUUUGCAUAGACCAAUAAACUAUAGUGUAAAGGCAAUCGGACAUAACUGCAAUCAAAAUGCUAUAAAACCUUAAAUAAAUAUUUCUUGAUCAAAUAAAAUGAAUUGUUAUAGUAGUAUAAAAAGAAGAAACAUUUUCUGUUAUAGUCUGUGCGAGUAAAUUCACUUUUUUGAAUGGUUUAUUCCAAAACAUGCGGUUUUGUUUAUUAUUGCUAAAGUUGUGAGAAUCUAAAACAAUAAUCGAAUUUUUAACAUGAUGUAAAGUAACUAUUUAAUUGAUGAGGUCAUUACUAAGCUUUCAGCAGAGUUAAAUGCGAUGUAUCAGGUUUGUAGUAAAAAAUCACGUGGGAAAGUAAAAAUAUUUUUUUUAGUAAGUAAAUAAGCCAGAAUGAGAUUUUCCAGAUAUUAUCCGCAUAUAAUAGACUGAAUUUACUGAUGUCCGUCUGCACCGUACAGCAGAAAUUAGCCAUAGCAAAGGAUUUGUAUAUUAACAAUGUUGAAAACAGGUUGAAAGAAAGAGGUGGAAAAUUGUCAGAAGCUACAACAGAUAUAAAAAAGCCGCUUCUUUUCAGUAUUACAAGGGACUACCAAUACCACAGUUUACUAUUGAUUUUGUCGAAUGCCUUGACAAAAUCAGUAUGUAAACACAGUCAUUCUCAGAAUUAGUAAUAACUGAUGAAGUGCUAAAAAGUCCAUUAAGUUAUUGUGUAAAUAAAUAUUCUUUAAUGUAACAAACCAACAUUUAGUCAAAGUGUAUUUUGUAUUGUGAUUCUGUAAGUGACACAUUUGAUAAAUAAGUCGAUAGAUAGUGAUAUGAGUUUAUAUAUUGGCCUGGUUCAUGUAAAUUGAUAUGAAAAAUGCAUUUUGGAAAUUAACCAUCAAAGAAAUUGUCUUAUUAGUCAUAUUUUUUUAAGCUGCAUAUCAAACCAGAUUGGAAAUCUUAACUUCCUAGGUAUCUCAUAUAUAAUAUUUGCAGUAUACUAGAUGAAAUUAUAAAAGUAUGCUAUGGCGGUUAACAAUUUAUAAAACCAAUGAAAGAUGUCAUAAAAUCAAAAAAAUUACAAAAUGUUUCUAAAUAUCAAAAUAUUUCCGAUAAUUUAAAAUCUUUAAAUCACUUCUAAAUCGAAAAUUUAUUUUAAAUGAUAAAAUGAUAAAUUAAAAAAAAACACACACAAAUCAAACAAAA
rnacentral:misc_RNA from 1 species